UACGUAGGGGGCAAGCGUUAUCCGGAUUUACCGGGUGUAAAGGGAGCGUAGACGGCACUGCAAGUCCGGAGUGAAAGCCCAAGGCUUAACCAUGGGACUGCUCUGGAAACUGUGGAGCUUGAGUGCGGGAGGGGCAGGCGGAAUUCCUAGUGUAGCGGUGAAAUGCGUAGAUAUUGGGAGGAACACCAGUGGCGAAGGCGGCCUGCUGGACAUUAACUGACGCUGAGGCGCGAAAGCGUGGGGAGCAAACAGG
rnacentral:rRNA from 1 species